AGAAACAUUGCAUUAACAAUAAUACACCUUACAUUAACCUUCCAUUAACAAUAAUCAACCUUUCCUAACACAUCAACCUAUUGUCAACAACAUUGAAAUCACAAUUACAUUACACAGACAUAUAAAAACCACCAUCCCAGUUAACAACUUCAACCAAUUUUCCGGUCUAACAACACUUUUCAGUUUUUCCCCAAGUCUCUCUUCCAUCUUCAUCAUCAUUUCCACCCACUUUGUUCUUUCUUCCACUUCCUUCUACAGUGACCACAUUUCCUUCAUGAAUCACAUCCUCAUUGCACCACUUAAAGAAGUUGCAUCCAGAACCACAAUCCUCACUCCCACCCUGUCCAAGAAGAAAACACAUUUGGUGAACCACAAUAAAACCUCUGCAACGAGAAAUAAAUCACAAUAAAACUUACCUUGAACUUGGGGCAUCCCCAAAAUCUUCUGCCCUUGUUCUUAGAGGUUCUUGCAAUGCGGAAGACUGCAUUCUCACCACAAAAGCAUGUGGGUUUUUAGACCCACCCUGCUCACACUACCACAACUCUGUCCAAACCCCG
rnacentral:lncRNA from 1 species